rnacentral:rRNA from 1 species
AUUUUGGUAAUUCAAGCGGCGGACGGGUGAGUAACGCGUGAGCAACCUGCCUUUCACAGGGGGAUAACGCAUCGAAAGGUGCACUAAUACCGCAUGAGACCACGCUCCCGACAUGAGAGAGGGGUCAAAGGAGCAAUCCGGUGAGAGAUGGGCUCGCGUCUGAUUAGCUAGUUGGUGAGGUAACGGCCCACCAAGGCGACGAUCAGUAGCCGACCUGAGAGGGUGAUCGGCCACAUUGGAACUGAGAGACGGUCCAAACUCCUACGGGAGGCAGCAGUGGGGAAUAUUGGGCAAUGGGGGAAACCCUGACCCAGCAACGCCGCGUGAAGGAAGAAGGUUUUCGGAUCGUAAACUUCUAUCCUUGGUGAAAAUAGUGAUGGUAGCCAAGAAGGAAGCCCCGGCUAACUACGUGCCAGCAGCCGCGGUAAUACGUAGGGGGCAAGCGUUGUCCGGAAUGAUUGGGCGUAAAGGGCGCGUAGGCGGCCUGAUAAGUUUGAAGU